rnacentral:rRNA from 1 species
GAUGAACGCUGGCGGCACGCUUAACACAUGCAAGUCGAGCGAAGGGAAGGCGCUUGCGCCUUGAACUUAGCGGCGGACGGGUGAGUAACACGUGGGUAACCUACCUCAUACAGGGGGAUAACGUAUAGAAAUGUACGCUAAUACCGCAUAAGCCUACAGAAUGGCAUCAUUCAGUAGGAAAAACUCCGGUGGUAUGAGAUGGGCCCGCGACUGAUUAGCUAGUUGGGGAGGUAACGGCUCACCAAGGCGACGAUCAGUAGCCGGUCUGAGAGGAUGGACGGCACAUUGGGACUGAGACACGGCCCAGACUCCUACGGGAGGCAGCAGUGGGAAUAUUGCACAAUGGGGGAAACCCUGAUGCAGCGAUGCCGC